UGUGGGUGCGUCUAUGACAACGGCAGACUGUGCAAGUGGGUCCAUCAGGAGCAACUCCCAGGAUGAAGUCAUAGUCAGCAGACCAACAUUCAUUGGGCGCUUACUGUAUACCAGGCACCAGCCUAGCUGACUCCAAGGGGCCCUCAGGCAGGAACCGCACGAAGAACGGCCGCCCUAAGACCCGCCCUGGGGAAACCAGAGGAGUCGAUCCUAACGGGAAACUUUCCAUCGCCCCGGCUUUCUACAGCUACCCGGGAGGCAGCCAUGUUGUCACCCCAGCCCUCACUGAAGGCUCGUUUCCCUUCUCAGAAGGCAGAGGCCGGGGAGGGGCCGGAAGCUGAGCUCAGAGAUUCUCAAGCUUCACCUUGCAGAAGAAUGGCUGCUCAGAGUUGCAUAGAGAAAACCACACGGAUCUAUGGGAGUGAUCCAACUUUUACUAGAUGCAGCUUUGUCAGCAUCGGUAGGUAAACCAGGAUGCUCUUGAAGGAAAGCACGGACUCCCUGAAAUGUCCCCUUCAAGGUGGAGAACACUGAAGCAUGAGAGCUUUCCAGCAGUGGUGCAAUCACAGGCCUGAACUCCCGACAGCGCUGGGCUCCAACAAGUGGCUUAUUCUAAACCCAAGAGCAGAAGGCACUAUCAGACCGUUCCCUCGGGGCCUUAAAAAUACCACCUGUAUCCUGACAAACUAGUGUUUUCAGCCCCAGACGUCACCCUUGAACUUCAGACUACUUCAGACUCAGACAUCUAACUGCCCACCGGGCCUCUCAAACUGAACACAGCCAAAGUCCUUGCUCUCCCCUCCACGGCCCCCCACCGUGGCCCUGUACCACCUGUUCCCACCAUAGGAAACCGGCUCCCUUCUUCCGGUUGUUCAGGCCAAUCUUGGUCACAGCCCACUUCCCUCCAUAUGCAAAUGCUUCUGGAUUUACCCUCAAAAUAUA